rnacentral:rRNA from 1 species
UGGGGAAUUUUGGACAAUGGACGCAAGUCUGAUCCAGCCAUGCCGCGUGCGGGAAGAAGGCCUUCGGGUUGUAAACCGCUUUUGUCAGGGAAGAAACGGGUUUCUCUAAUACAGAGACUUAAUGACGGUACCUGAAGAAUAAGCACCGGCUAACUACGUGCCAGCAGCCGCGGUAAUACGUAGGGUGCAAGCGUUAAUCGGAAUUACUGGGCGUAAAGCGCACGCAGGCGGUCUGUUAAGUCAGAUGUGAAAUCCCCGGGCUCAACCUGGGAACUGCAUUUGAAACUGGCAGGCUUGAGUCUUGUAGAGGGGGGUAGAAUUCCAGGUGUAGCGGUGAAAUGCGUAGAGAUCUGGAGGAAUACCGGUGGCGAAGGCAAUCCCCUGGACCUGUACUGACGCUCAUGCACGAAAGCGUGGGGAGCAAACA